rnacentral:misc_RNA from 1 species
AACCUAGCACACCUGCGGUGUGUACCUGCGGAGGGAUCAUUACAGAGUUACUACUCCAAACCCAUUGUGAACCUUACCUAUGUUCUGUUGCCUCGGCGGCGCGGUCAGCGCCCCUCUGAAAAGAGGACGAUGCCCUCCCGCCGGCAGCACCAAACUCUUGAAUUUUACAGCGGAUUACAGUUCUGAUUUAAAAACAAAAAAAACAAGUUAAAACUUUCAACAAUGGAUCUCAGAUCGGAA